rnacentral:rRNA from 1 species
UACGAAGGGGGCUAGCGUUGCUCGGAAUCACUGGGCGUAAAGGGUGCGUAGGCGGGUCUUUAAGUCAGGGGUGAAAUCCUGGAGCUCAACUCCAGAACUGCCUUUGAUACUGAAGAUCUUGAGUUCGGGAGAGGUGAGUGGAACUGCGAGUGUAGAGGUGAAAUUCGUAGAUAUUCGCAAGAACACCAGAGGCGAAGGCGGGCUACUGGGCUGAUACUGACGCUGAUGCGCGAAAGCCAGGGGAGCAAACGGG